GUCCCUGUAGCGCAAAGGAAUAGCGCGUUGGACUUCUAAUCCAAAGAUUGUGGGCUCGAAUCCUACCCGGGACG